AAAGGACUGGUAGUAGCUCAAUGGAACACAUCAGAUUCUUUUAGUACUGUGCUAAAGGAAAGAGAGGUGGUGGUGGUUCCUGAUCACGUGUGUUACCCACACAACGAAAAACCUUUCGGCCAUACAUUCUGCGUCAGAAUUCUUGAUGGGGAAAAAAAAUCUUGCACGAAGGACUUUGAUGCACCUCUUGUAACUGUGGAGGCGGAUGAGCGCUAUGUGGCAGCAGGCAUUUUGGAAUUCGGCUAUUAUUGUAGAGUAGAAGAAUUUCCUGCGAAGUACAGCAACUUACGGUACCCGGAGCACCUAGCCUGGAUCAAGGAUGUCGCGUUCACCACACACUGAACAGUAAGAAAGAAGAAAAGAAAAACGACGAUUUCGACAAUUAUAUGAAUGACAAUUCAAUGCAAAACUUAAUUGUUUACCUAAGAACCAUGAAGACUCAAUAUUGCAAUACUUAGUCAGUUAUUAAAUGAAUUUUUCCCCUUUUCUUAUUUUAUCACCUCAGACAAGAGAAUCCACCAAUCAUCAGCCACCACACUGU